GGUGAACUCCGCUUGCGGGGGGAUCAGUGGCGAACGGGUGAGUAACACGUGGGCAACCUGCCCUCAGCUCUGGGAUAACUCCAAGAAAUUGGGGCUAAUACUGGAUAUGACCGCUGACCGCAUGGUCUGGUGGUGGAAAGAUUUAUCGGCUGGGGAUGGGCCCGCGGCCUAUCAGCUUGUUGGUGGGGUAGUGGCCUACCAAGGCGACGACGGGUAGCCGGCCUGAGAGGGUGACCGGCCACACUGGGACUGAGACACGGCCCAGACUCCUACGGGAGGCAGCAGUGGGGAAUAUUGCGCAAUGGGCGAAAGCCUGACGCAGCGACGCCGCGUGGGGGAUGACGGCCUUCGGGUUGUAAACCUCUUUCAGCAGGGACGAAGCGAAAGUGACGGUACCUGCAGAAGAAGCACCGGCCAACUACGUGCCAGCAGCCGCGGUAAUACGUAGGGUGCAAGCGUUGUCCGGAAUUAUUGGGCGUAAAGAGCUCGUAGGCGGUUUGUUGCGUCGGCUGUGAAAACCUGAGGCUCAACCUCAGGCCUGCAGUCGAUACGAGCAGACUAGAGUGUUGCAGGGGAGACUGGAAUUCCUGGUGUAGCGGUGAAAUGCGCAGAUAUCAGGAGGAACACCGGUGGCGAAGGCGGGUCUCUGGGCAACAACUG
rnacentral:rRNA from 1 species